UACGUAGGUGGCAAGCGUUGUCCGGAUUUAUUGGGUUUAAAGGGUGCGUAGGCGGUCCCAUAAGUCAGUGCUGAAAUAUCCCGGCUUAACCGGGAGGGUGGCAUUGAUACUGCGGGACUUGAGUGGAGUUGAAGUGGGCGGAAUUGACGGUGUAGCGGUGAAAUGCUUAGAUAUCGUCAAGAACACCGAUAGUGAAGACAGCUCACUAAGCUCAAACUGACGCUGAGGCACGAAAGUGUGGGGAGCAAACAGG
rnacentral:rRNA from 1 species